GACAAUAUACUUAUACUCAAUUUUAGGGCCUUUCAUAGACGUAAAUAAGGGGAGAGGUGCUUGGGUGGGCUUAGUCCAUCCUUCAGCCUCUCAAUACUACGUACAAUAAAAUGAAUUUAAUGAUUGUGUGAACGAUCAUUCUCCUCAAUGAGAAGAAUUAAUACUUAUUUAAAGUCAAAUAUGACGCAAAACAGAUUUACAAAAAUUUAACUAUUCUUAACAUUGAGCGAAAAUUAUCAAACACAAUUAAAAAUGAUUAUAUUCUUAACCAAUUCGCAGAAAAAGAUAGAAACGUGCAUUUAUAAAAAAACAAUU